rfam:Echinostoma caproni strain Egypt genome assembly, scaffold: ECPE_scaffold0005781
GCACAGCUGACGAGGCCCAAACAGGACGAAACAGCUGUCCAGUGC